CAUUUUAAACAAUUCCUAAAAAAAUUAGCAAAAUAAGUUGAAUCUUAUGACUCAAUAAGUCUAAAUAAAGGUAGCGUUUGGUUUGGGUAUAAGUAAGAACUGGGUAUUACAGGAAUAGGUACAAAUAUGGGGAUAAAAAAAAAAAAAAAAUGUUUGGAUGAAAAUUGGAUUGUUCCCGGGAAUAAGAAAAAUAACGUUUGGAUAGAUAAUAUGGAAGAAGAAAAAUAGUGGAUAGUUAUAUAUAGAAAAUAGAGGUGUUGGUGGGGAUAAUUAUACCCGAUUAUUAUAGGUAACUGAGCAUUUGGGUAUAAAGGGGAUAAGUGGUUAUU
rnacentral:lncRNA from 1 species